UACGUAGGUGGCAAGCGUUGUCCGGAUUUACGUGGCGUAAAGAGCGCGCAGGCGGUCGUUCAAGUCGCGUGUGAAAGCCCCCGGCUCAACUGGGGAGGGUCACGCGAUACUGAUCGACUCGAAGGCAGGAGAGGGAAGUGGAAUUCCCGGUGUAGUGGUGAAAUGCGUAGAUAUCGGGAGGAACACCAGUGGCGAAGGCGACUACCUGGCCUGUUCUUGACGCUGAGGCGCGAAAGCUAGGGUAGCAAACGGG
rnacentral:rRNA from 1 species